GGAGCAUUGGGAAGCGUAUGAUAAGGAAGGGAGAGUCCUAGAGGAGAGGCGGGGUUUAAUCUAACUACUGGGAUCAGGAAAGUGCGGGGAAUUCCAGACUGGGUGCCCAGAAGAAUAAAGAAGACUGCAGCACACUAGAAGACCAGCGGAAGGAGCCAGGAGGGAAACAAGAAGAUGACUUCUAACAAAGUCAGAGCGGACUCAACAGCACCGAAGAAGUUAGCUUUGGACAAGAAGAGGAGGCAAACUGAAGUGCCAGAGAAGAAACGAAAUGUCACAUUCAACUCAAAGGAGUGGGCAGGCUCUUCACCUGAAAACACUCCCCAAAUGUCCCCUUUUUGGGAGGGACGUGAAUGAGCAAAGCAGAGGAUGUGACCAUUUUUUCAGUGGAGUGUUGCUGCUUUGCAGUGGACAAGGAGUUAUCAGGAUGUCUAUGAAAUCUUUGCUUCAGGAUUAAGGGUCCGAAUGAAUGUCUUAGGAAUUGGUAAGGAAAAAUCUCGGAUACAGUUAAUAUCCUGCUGUAGUUUGGUAGACAAAUAAUCUUGCGUAUGCCUAUUUUUCCUGGGUAAAAACUGGUAUACCAAUUUAAAGACAAAUUUUAUUGUCAUGUGAAACUAUUUUUACAUUUGAGAUUAUCAGAGGGAAAUAUAUUAUGGUAAAAAAAAAAAGCAAUACAAGUUUAAAAAAUGUAGUCCCAAAGAAAUAUAUUAUUACAGUGUAACUCCAAAAUUGGUUCUCUCCUUAGUAUAAUAUUAUCUUUCUG